rnacentral:rRNA from 1 species
CCUACGGGAGGCAGCAGUGGGGGAUAUUGCACAAUGGGGGGAACCCUGAUGCAGCGACGCCGCGUGGGUGAAGAAGCGCCUCGGCGCGUAAAGCCCUGUCAGCAGGGAAGAAAAUGACGGUACCUGAAGAAGAAGCCCCGUCUAACUACGUGCCAGCAGCCGCGGUAAUACGUAGGGGGCAAGCGUUAUCCGGAUUUACUGGGUGGAAAGGGGGCGCAGACGGCGAUGCAAGCCAGGAGGGAAAGCCCGGGGCCCAACCCCGGGACUGCUCUUGGAACUGGGUGGCUGGAGUGCGGGAGGGGCAGGCGGAAUUCCUGGUGUAGCGGUGAAAUGCGUAGAUAUCAGGAGGAACACCGGUGGCGAAGGCGGCCUGCUGGACUGCAACUGACGUUGAGGCCCGAAAGCGUGGGGAGCAAACAGGAUUAGAUACCCCAGUAGUC